rnacentral:rRNA from 1 species
GAUGAACGCUGGCGGCGUGCCUAAUACAUGCAAGUCGAGCGAACGGACGAGAAGCUUGCUUCUCUGAUGUUAGCGGCGGACGGGUGAGUAACACGUGGAUAACCUACCUAUAAGACUGGGAUAACUUCGGGAAACCGGAGCUAAUACCGGAUAAUAUUUUGAACCGCAUGGUUCAAAAGUGAAAGACGGUCUUGCUGUCACUUAUAGAUGGAUCCGCGCUGCAUUAGCUAGUUGGUAAGGUAACGGCUUACCAAGGCAACGAUGCAUAGCCGACCUGAGAGGGUGAUCGGCCACAAUGGAGCGGAGACACGGUCCAGACUCCUACGGGAGGCAGCAGUAGGGAAUCUUCCGCAAUGGGCGGAAGCCUGACGGAGCAACGCCGCGUGAGUGAUGAAGGUCUUCGGAUCGUAAAACUCUGUUAUUAGGGAAGAACAUAUGUGUAAGUAACUGUGCACAUCUUGACGGUACCUAAUCAGAAAGCCACGGCUAACUACGUG